rnacentral:tRNA from 1 species
GGUGGCUCAGUGGUAGAGCGCUUGACUUACAUUCCUGAGACCCUGGGUUCGAUUCCUCAGCACCA